rnacentral:lncRNA from 1 species
ACCGAGACCAGGGGCUUGUCCUUGGGCCACCCUGUCUCGUGUCCUGGACACAGUCACAUGACUCGUACAGAAAAUGUCACUGGGAAGACACCAUAAGGCUCAUCUUUUCACGACACAGUGACCUCUGUUAUGGACAUCUUGAUUUCUCUUUGAGAAGCCAUCCCUCCCCAAGUGUGUAUAGUCUAGCAGCCAAGUCCGCCUUGCCUCUGGCCAAGGGCAGCCUGAAACUCAAACAGGGCCCAUCCCUUAUCCCUGGAUGGAAAUCUUGAGCAGAGUGCCUGACGGGACUGAAGAUGGCUGAAAUUCCAGCAAGCAGACAGUGGUUCUCUGAAGAGGCUCCCCUCCGCCCACACCCAUGAGUGUCUGCUCCCCAGAUGCUCCAAUCCUACUUCUCCAGCUUUACCUUCUGUUCCAUAAGCUGCUUCAUUUUCUUUCUCCAAAUCCCUCUUUUGCUGGUUGGACAAAGAUUGUUUCUGUUGCCUGCAAUCAAAUAACCCGAAAGGAUGAACAGGUGAAAUCAUAAACAUACUUUUAAGUGCUUGGAAUAUGCCUGCUUCUGUCCGUCCUUCAACCCACUUGCAUCAGAAGCCCCCUUGGAGGAUGAGGGCCUGUCCUAUGAACCAUGGUGGUUCAGAGUGGAACACAGCAGCGUGUGGAACACCAGGAAUUUAGAGCAAUCAGUGAAAUAUGAUGUAGGCCUCUAUGUCAGAAAAAGUACUAAUAAGCAGUUGAUUAUUAGUAAUCAAUAAUAGCCUUCCCAUUUUAUAUCGAGCACAGCAGUCAGGAUGUUAAAAACAAGGACUGCUGGACACCAGCUGCGAUGAAAUGCUUUAUCAGAGGACGGCCCUUGAUGUCUAUGUCCAUUUGCAAGUGUGGCAUUAAUUACAAGGCUGGUUUAAGUAUAAUCAGUAAGUUUAUAUGCUGGAUGCUCAAGGUGAUUUCUGGCUAAACAUGGAAUUUCUAUUUCUAUUUUCCUUAUGUUAAAAGCCGGAACAGCAAAAUGUAUUCCUAAUGUCACUAUUAUGACAUUUACAUCCCAAAAAGUUGCAGUAAAUGAUCAAUACAAUAGUGAAAUGCCUGGAAACCUGUUCCUUUUUUGCUAAAAAAAGGAGGGCACUUUUUAUGUCUUUGAUGUGAAGUUCAUGUUCUUUGACAGUGAUGGAACAUGCUACAGGAAAGGCUGACUACAUUUUACUAGAGAAGUAAAAAAGAAAUGCAGGAGAAUCUCACAGCUCUGGGAUUGAACGGAAAGCAAAGGAGGAGCUCCUCUAGGGGGCUAUGGGAUGCCUCUGUGUAGCUAUUGAAUCUCUGGGGCCAUGGAUGAGAAUUUGGUUGGUCAGUAGGUCAGCAUUCAAGAGUAUGGGCUGGAUGCAGAAUAAACGACCUGCUGAGAGUAAUGGCCACUGCUUUACUUCUGUCUUCAAAAUCCUGAACAAGCUCCUCUUUUGGCCAACUCUAACCUGGAACCAUGCAGGUUAGGAAGAGAAAGAGAAGCGGAUUGUGAGAAAGAUUUUAGCUUGGUCAAGUUGAUAACGGAAUGAUUCAGAACAAUGCAACCCUUAUCAACUAGUACAGAUGUCUUCUUGGGCUCUCCUUUGGAGCAACUUUCCAAUUUCCUCUGAAACAUGACCUUGGAAUUCAAGGCAUAUUAAGUCUUUCACACACAAGUUCCAUUUGGAAACAAAGA